UGGAGUAUCCAUCCGCUAUUCACCCAGGCGGAGUGAAUGGCAUUCAGCCUCUCUCCCGCCGCGUCGUCUCGCAGUCGGAGGCCUAUCCGCGCCUCACACUCCACCUCCUCCGUCGUGUCCAGGCUCUCCACGGCGCCCUUACCUCUCGCUCGCGCUGGCUGGACACCGCCCGCUUGGAUCCCGCACAGAGCCGGCUCUAGGCACUAGGCCGUGCCAAAGGGCGCCGCGGGCCGCCUCCUCGCACACCACGAUGGCGGCGCGGACCAGCCCCUCGACCUCCGUGCUGGGGCAGCGGCCCCGAACGUCAGGAUGCUCAUGCAGCAAAGAACGGCGAGGCGAGGUCGCCAUGGUAGACAGGCCCAGGCGGCCGCCGGCCCGCGCGGAGGUCGCGGACGGGACGGGGCCCGGCGUCGACGCGCUCGUCGUGACGGGGGACGUGGUCGAGACCAGGGACAACUUCAAGCGCAGCAUGGGGGUGCUCAGGGCGCGGUUCGAGGCCGUCUUCUACGUGCCCGGGAACCACGACCUCUGGAUUCUCCCCUCUCCCUUCCUUGCCCUGCAACUGCAAGCAAGGUAGCAACACCACCAACUGAUCCGAGAGAAGUGACGACUAGGAGUGAAAAAAAAGUGCUUGGGACAGUACAGAAAACCAUGGCGACAACAACAAGAAGCAUGACAAACAGCAAAGAAAUAAGCUUAAAAUUAAAGAAUGAUCAAAGGGCUACACAUCUAACACCAAGGCACACAAACGGAAGGACAUUUUGGUGUGCAGGAAACGGCAAUGUCGACAGCUGCUUUCGCUAAGUUGCAGAAACAACUUUUGUUAACACACACUCUCACUAAGUAUCUUUUAGUUCAAUACAUAGAAAAAGAUAUACGAGGUGACAUCAGGUUUUACCAUACCUAACUUUUGCGCACGAAGAUUAUGUUAACUGCCUGUGCUAGGCCAUCGUAUAUGAAUUUCUGCAACGCCUAGACUGCAACCAAUAUGCUGUAUUACAACUCGCUGCCCACAA